rnacentral:rRNA from 1 species
AGUGGAUGGGGAGCAACCUAGUUGUGCGUGUGUAAAGGUAGUGCCAAGAAAGGCGAUGAUCAUGUUGAAAAUCAAUUCCCGGUACCCGAAACCGACACAGGUGGGCAAGUAGAGAAUACUAAGGGGCGCGAGGUAACUCUCUCCAAGGAACUCGGCAAAAUGACCCCGUAACUUAGGGAGAAGGGGUGCCACCGAGAGGUGAUCGCAGUGAAGAGGCCCAGGCGACUGUUUAGCAAAAACAUAGGUCUCUGCAAACUCGAAAGAGGAGGUAUAGGGGCUGACGCCUGCCCAGUGCCGGAAGGUUAAAGAAGUUGGUCAGUUUUAGGAUGAAGCUAGCGACUGAAGCCCCGGUGAACGGCGGCCGUAACUAUAACGGUCCUAAGGUAGCGAAAUUCCUUGUCGGGUAAGUUCCGACCCGCACGAAAGGCGUAACGAUCUGGGCGCUGUCUCGGAGAGAGGCUCGGCGAAAUAGGAUUGUCUGUGAAGAUACGGACUACCUGCAUUUGGACAGAAAGACCCUAUGAAGCUUUACUAUAGCUUGGAAUUGUGUUCGGGCUUCCUGUGCGCAGGAUAGGUGGGAGGCGUAGAAGGUAUUCUUGUGGGGAUACUGGAGCCAACGGUGAGAUACCACUCUCAGGAGGCUAGAAUUCUAACUUAAUUAAGGACAGUUUCAGGUGGGUAGUUUGACAGGGGCGGUCGCCUCCAAAAAGGUAACGGAGGCGUACAAAGGUUCCCUCAGACUGGUUGGAAAUCAGUCGAAGAGUGCAAAGGCAGAAGGGAGCUUGACUGCGAGAAGUACAGUUCGAGCAGGGUGGAAACACGGUCUUAGUGAUCCGACGGUGCUGUGUGGAAGGGCCGUCGCUCAACGGAUAAAAGUUACUCUAGGAUAACAGGCUGAUCUCCCCCAAGAGUUCACAUCGACGGGGAGGUUUGGCACCUCGAUGUCGGCUCAUCGCAACCUGGGGCGGAAGUACGUCCCAAGGGUUGGGCUGUUCGCCCAUUAAGGCGGUACGUGAGCUGGGUUCAGAACGUCGUGAGACAGUUCGGUCCAUAUCCGAUGUAGGCGUGAGAAUAUUGAGAGGAGCCUUCCUUAGUACGAGAGGACCGGGAAGGACGCACCGCUGGUGUACCUGUUAUGAUGCCAAUUGUAAACGCAGGGUAGCCAAGUGCGGAGAGGAUAACCGCUGAAAGCAUCUAAGUGGGAAGCCCACCUCAAGAUGAGUAUUCUGGUGUAAGGUCACGGGAAGACGACCCGUAAAUAGGCACGAGGUGGAAGUGCAGAGAUGUAUGAAGCCGAAGUGUACUAAUAGACCGUCGGCUUGACC